UGUGGCCUCUACUACCAAGAAGUUCUCC
rnacentral:piRNA from 1 species